GCUUUAAGUCUUGGUAAAGCCAAAAACAGUUAACAGUCAGACUGCAUCUCAGCCCUGUCAAGAUGGAUCUCCAUAACAGGUGAUGAAUAGUUUUAUUUGGGGGAUAUAUUAACUUUUACUAUUGGGGGAAAGUUUUAUAUUAGUUUGCCAGUUUGUAACCCAGCAAGUUGAGGCCAAUAGAUAUACAUUCGCAACCCUGUACCCAUCAAAUAAUCAACUUUAUUGGUGACUUUGGGAUGGAUUCAUACAACCACAUUUCCUUUCUCAAGAAAGGUUGGAAGGUAUGUAAUUUGAAUGGCUAUUGCUCUCUGCUCACUGCUGUCAGGGUGCUGUCAGCAGAUCCUGGCUGGUUGCCCAGAAUAGUAUAAAAACAAGGAAAAGUUUCAUACAGUCCUUUUUUAUUUCAAACUUUACAGAGAGAGGCUUUAGAACCCAGCAUCUUGGAUAAUGGUGUUGUCCUGAGUAAAUCUCCACCGCCCACUUCCUCAUUCACCAACCUCAUCACCUCCUCUAUGGAUGCCACUAAGUGCCCUCUGUCUUAAGCUGUUUGCUCUCCUACUUUUAAGGCUUGCCAGAUUCUGGGAGAUGGUAGGUCUGGGAUGCUUUCUAGUGACAAGAUGUCAGCCAGGUGUUGCUCUGGCUCUCCCAUGAUUUCCCAACUUUUCCCCUCAUCUACCUCUGAGCUGCUACCUCCCUCAAACCCCUGUUGUAAAUCUAUACUAUCUUCCUCUUCCUCCUCCCUGGAAGGGUCAGGAUGGGGCGGCAGUCUCCACCACUUCUCCUUCUCUGCCCAGCCCUUGACAUCACAACUAUAGCAUCAUAGCUAAAUAAUAAUUUAUAUAGCAUAUAUAGCUCUCCUGAGUCACUCUUGUGGGGUUGAAUGGCACAUCGGAACACUGUGAUGGAAGCCAGAGCACACCAAAAUGCCGUUUACCUUCCCACCACAGUGAUACCUAUUUAUCUACUCGCACUGGUGUGCUUUCAAACUGCUAGGUUGGCGGGAGCUGGGAGAGCAAUGGGAGCUUACUCCGUCAGGGGAUUCGAACCAUGCCAACCUUCCAAUCGGCAAGCCCAAGAGGCUCAGUGGUUUAGACCACAGCACCACCCGCAUCCCUACUGUAGGUAAUGCCAAGUGAAGAAUGGACAUUGUGAAGCAUUGGGAAUUGUAGCUUAACAAUACCUGGAGGGUGCUACAUUGACUACUGCUGAACUACUGGUAUCAAUGAUAGACCAUUUCAUAAUGAUUGUAUUAAUGCAGUACACCUUUAUAGAGUUAUAAUUCCAUUUUUGUUCCGACACUCACUGGGGAAAAUCUAUUCACUUCUUUAUUUAAAUCUCAGAUAUUAGCCUGAGUGUGUGUGUGUGUGUGUGUGUGUGUGUGUGUGUGUGUGUUCAGUACUAAUAUGAAAUCUGCUUCCAGUGUUGACACAACUUUUUGUAAGACUAAACUUUUCCCAUCAUGCUUCUUUCUAUCAUUUCAUCUUGCUGCUUGUUAUAUGGAAAACAAGACUGACAAGUGGUGUCUCAUAAAUCAGCCAACUUUGUGUACCUGUUCCCCAUGCGCUCUGCACCACUGGCAGACAGCUCCAGUCCUACAGAAAAUGCGAAAUGAUUUUGACUUAUUUUCAGCUAGGAAAAGCACAGCUAAUUUAUACUGUGGUGACAUGUGUUCCUGAGAAAUUACACGACUGCAUUCCAGUGGAUAGACAUAACUUGUCACUUCAGCUGCCGUGCAGACCUAAACUAGAGUGACACGCCAGCUUGACAUAAAUACUGUAUUGUGUUUGACUGAUGUGUACCUGUAUAUCCUUUGCUUAAUGAAAAAUGGCAAACAGCCACAGCGAAGGUUGUUUAGGGUUCAGUAAGUUUUUAGUAGGAGGGAAUUAAAGGUGAGCGGCUUGAACUCUGCACUUAACUUUUGGAACAAGCCAACAGUAGCUAUGCAUCCAGUUCUAUUAUAUGCUGUUAUCCUUGACAAGCAUGGCAUUGAACCCAGGUUCUUUGGGAUGAAACCGGUUUUGACUUUAGAUUAUGCAAGUGUCCCUCAAGGCUUUUCACCAUUCAGUUACAUUGAGUUCUGGGUAGAAAUGUUGAUGCUAACUUUCACAACAUGGAGAUUACAGUGUGAGUGGGCUUGCAUGUUCCUAUGACCCUUGUGAACGAAGCCAUCAGGAGUUUCAUACUCCCAGCAGGGUCACCCAAGGCAGUAAGUUCAAAGGGGAGGAGCUAGACAAAGAAUGAUCCAAGAAGUCCUCAACGGCAGAACAGGCGGAUGAUAACAAGCAGUAUGUUACAAUGGCUGUUAAGGCAGAUGAGGGCUGCAGCAGAUCAGAAUCUACCAGUCGUUGUGAUACUCAUGCCAUCGGAAUAGAGUUUUACUGCGAAAACUGUGCAUUGGUCAGCGUGCACUGAUCUACACACAUAAAACAAAUUCACGCACAGAUGUCUUCCAAAAACCCAUCCAAAACCCAAACCCCCAAAAGUCCCAUGGUUAUCGGCAAAUGGUAAAGGGGGCAGGGCUGUGGAAUCUGGAAGCCCCUAGUCAUGAACCAGCACAUGGGUGGUGGAUACAGAUUCAAUCACUGUGACUCAAGGAAUGAGGCAGCUGAGCAGCUAUAUCCAUGACUGAGCAACCCUACUUAGGAUCCAGUCUGCUCCCAAAAAGGGGGAGGGGCUAGAAAAGGCCCUAAACAUAGUCUGCCUUCCUUUACAAUCUUACUCAGCUAUGAGUGACCGCCAGAGAAGAAGAGAAGAUAUUGGGGUAGGGAAGGUUCUUUCAGUUCAAAGGCCACAUUGCCUUCUGGACAACUUUCUCAGUGUCACAUGACAUGGGUGGGUGGGGACAGAGGCAAAACUGGGUGGAGCAAUGCAUGUGGAUUUUAUUUCCGUACUGUAGACAAGUCAGGGUGUCAGUGAUCUGAGCCCUGGGAUGUAGCCUUGGAAAAUGCCCAACCAUGGCAACCCCUGCCCCUAACUUAAAUCCAAUUGAUUUCACUGGGUCUACUUUGGUUGGCACCCAUCUGCCUCAGGAGACAAUGAAGGAGUGCGUUUCUGGGGAUGAAGUUAACUGUUGGGACUAUUGGAAGGUUACAGCACCUCCCUUGCUACACUGGCUGCCCUGCUUACCUGUCUGUUUCCAUGCACAGUGCAAAGUGCUGGUCUCAUUAAGCAAAGGAUAUAAUGUAUAAAUAUACAUAUACAUUUAUACACUUACACAUUAAUAUAUAAAUAUACAUAGAAUCCAGAAUUAGGUCUGCUUAAGCAGCUGGCUAUAGGGAACAUACCACUUCCUUGCAAAAUGCUUGUCAUCACCGAUAAAGCCCUACACAGCCCAGGUCCAAGUUAUCUGAAAGAUAAUAUCCCCUCAUAUGAAGCUGCCUGGGGUUUGAGAUCUUCAGGGGAGGGCCUUACCUCAGACCUGCCACCCUCACGGGCAUACAUGGUGGGGACAGGACAGGCCUUCUUGGUGGUGGCUCCCAGACUUUGGAACUUCCUCCCCAGAAAAGCUGGACUGGCUCCUACCUUGCAGUCCUUUCACUGGCAGGUCACAAUUUUCUUGUUCCAAUAGGCUUUUGGGAUUGACUACUUUCAAUUAAAGGGAUCGUGCUAUGCUGUUUUUAUUGUAAUUAUUGGUACAUUCUAAAUAGAUUUUAUAUAUGUAUAUAGUUUUAAUUCCAGUGUGGUGUAGUGGUUAAGAGCGGUAGUCUUGUAAUCUGGGGAACCAGGUUUGAGUCUCCGCUCCUCCACAUGCAGCUGCUGGGUGACCUUGGGCCAGUCACACUUCUUUGAAGUCUCUCAGCCCCACUCACCUCACAGAGUGUUUGUUGUGGGGGAGGAAGGGAAAGGAGAAUGUUAGCCGCUUUGAGACUCCUUAAAGGGAGUGAAAGGCGGGAUAUCAAAUCCAAACUCCUCCUCUUCUUCUUCUUCUUCUUCUUCUUCUUCUUCUUCUUCUUCUUCUCAAUGCUGAAUUGCAUUUUAAUGAUUUAUUUUUCUAUGUUUUUAGCAGUUCUUGUUUUUAUCUGUAAGCUGCCUUGCAUCCCCUCUGCGGAAAAGGUGAUGUGUAUAUAUAUAUAAUCAUCAUCAUUACACCCCAGGUAUCAAAACUUUGGGAAAUGUUGGUAUAGCUGCAGUUUUGAUGACAGACAGCUGAAAAGUCAACGGUGGCUAUUUAAUAUGUCUCAAGGAGAACUUUUUGGCAUGAUAGCUGCCCGUUAACUGCUACACAAUAAAAUUUAAUUGAACAUUCACCAAAAGGUUAGGAAGUUAGUCAAACUGUAACUGCUGCAAUUAUCACCCCACCCUGUAGUCAUGUACUGAAGGCAAAACAGUUUGUGUGCAAGAUAAAUAGAAGGAGCAAUGGAAGUUUCUAGAUGGCUUCGGGAUUUCUAAUUCGCUGCUUAGGAAAAUAGUUCAGUGUUUUCAUUUGCAGGAUUAAAGUUCCUCAGAUUCAGUGCUUAUGAAUGAAGUUUUUUCAGUUGUAUUUAAUUAGCAGCAGUAAUGCAGCUGUUGCAUUAAGCUGAGGAGGGAACAUUUAAAACUUGUUUUGUUUUAACACAUAGAUUAUGGGGAUUCAAUGUAAGUAAAUAGAGAUACACAAUGAAGCAAAAAUAUUGACUUUGAUUAUAUGCUUACUGACUCUAGAUACCUUAUGGUGUUGGCAUGGGAUUUAGGGUUGCCAACUGACUGGAUAAGAAUAGAUUCACCUAGUCUAAUUUUCUCCCUUGCAACUCAUCUGCAGAGAAAAGCAGAUGAGCAAAUAAGAUGCAUAUUCACAGCAUGGAGAUAACUCACUAUAACAUAUUUACAAAAACUGCUGCUAAAGCAUAGGAACAGGCAUUUUGGUAACAACCUAUCCUCGUCGAAAAGAUGAUAUGCAUCAAUAGAAGAGAGGACAAAAGAGGAUAUACAUGUGCACAACAUUUCCUAUGCUAAUUUUUAUGUUUGCAUAUUACCCAUGUGCCUUUUUAGUCUGCUGACCAGGUACUUCAAGGCUCCUGCUCUUUCUCCUGAUGGUUAUCUUUGGAACUGACAGCCCUUCAAAUAAAGGAUGGUCCUUUAUAAAGUAGGGCAACUCUAGCAGAAAUUCACAAGCAGGCCACCAAACCCUCUUGGGAGAAUUAGAUCUUCUGUGUUUCAUGAUUGAUUUGAGAUUAUAUUUGAAGAACAUCUCAAUAUGUGUGUGUCAUGACCCUCUAGAUCAGACUCUUCUUCCUCAGGAGAUGAAGUUAAAGAUUCUGAGUGCAAGGGGGAAUUGGCCUCAGGACCAGCCCCAGGUAUACAUAUCCAAUCAGAAGCAUUUGCGCAAGAGGAGCCCAAUGUGCCAUUAUAUUUCUGGCCUGGGGAUGUUGUGUGCCAUUCUCCACUCAGAAGGCUUAAAGGUAAAGGUAAAGGUACCCCUGCCCGUACGGGCCAGUCGUGUCCGACUCUAGGGUUGCGUGCUCAUCUCGCUCUAGAGGCCGUGAGCCGGCGCCGUCCGAAGACACUUCCAGGUCACGUGGCCAGCGUGAUGAAGCUGUAGCCGGCGAGCCAGCACCAGCGCAGCACACGGAAACGCCGUUUACCUUCCCGCUAUAAAGUGGUCCCUAUUUAUCUACUUAAGAGUGCUUUCGAACUGCUAGGUGGGCAGGAGCUGGGACCGAACGAUGGGAGCUCACCCCGCCGCGGGGAUUCGAACCACCAACCAUACGAUCGGCAAGUCCUAGGCACUGAGGUUUUACCCACAGCGCCACCCGCGUCCCUUCUCAGAAGGCUUAGUGGAACCAUAAUCUCCUCUACUCUUCCUGAGUCAUUCAUUGCUAAAGCAAGCUGGGCCCAUUUAACUGAAGAGGCUCCACUUACCAAAGGUAGAGUUAGCAACUGGAAUAGAGUUACCUCUCCCUCUGAAGGCUCAGUUUGAGGAUGACUACUGCUGAAACAACACCAGACCUUUGCGCUUGUGGAGGUGGCAGCCAAAACCCUGCAGGGAGCUGUCCAGGGUACUUCUGAAGCCUCAGCUCUGUACUUCUGGGGCCCUUUCUCAGAAUGAGGGUUGGGGGGAAGAAGAUAAAAAGGCAAAGUCUGCACUUAGUUAUUUUCUUUAUAGACAGGUAUACAAUUACCUCACAGAUUAAGGGGUAGACAACAGUUGCUUAAGUCUAAAUCUAUAACUAAUCAGCUUCUCUUUAACAAUAGUUGCUAUUAGAAACCAGCUUCUUAACUCUCUGCAAUUCCUAAGCAAUCAAGGUAAAGUGGGAGACAGUGAGGAAAAGUGAAUGAACGUGGUUCGUUGCUGUGCCCCUGCACAAAGAACAAAGUGUCUAUGGUUUCAUACAAGCAAACAGAUAAAGCAUGCCGUUGUUUAUCUGGCAACUAAUCAACAACUGGAGACCCUAGUGCCACUGCUCCAUAUCACCUCCUCUGAAUACCCCUGCCAUAAAUAGUGAGUGGAGCUGUAGUCUAAACCACUGAGCCUCUUGGGCUUGCCAAUCAGAAGGUUGGCGGUUUGAAUCCGCACAAUGGGGUGAGCUCCUGAUUCAGUUCCUGCCUACCUAGCAGUUCGAAAGCAUGCCCGUGCAAAUAAAUAAAUAGGUUGCAGGAAAGUAAACGGCAUUUCCAUGCACUCUGGUUUCCGUCACGGUGUUCCAUUGAGCCAGAAACGGUUUAGUCCUGCUGGCGAUUUGACCCGGAAAGCUGUUUGUGGACAAAUGACGGUUCCCUCCGACUGAAAACGAGAUGAGCGCCAGAACCCCAUAGUCGCCUUUGACUGGACUUUACCUUUACCUCUUUUUCUUUUUCUUCUUCUUUGCUUACCUUUGUCAUAAAACUAGUCAUUGACCAUGAACUUUGUCCUUUUCCAGGUUCUCCUAUGUAAGAUAGUCUAGGGUGGGCAGGUCUGCAGUGAUUGAAGGCAUUCUGGAACAUUCUGCAGGAUCAACAAAUGGCUCCAUUGUUAACCCUAACAUAAACUUGCACAGCAAGAAAGGGUGCAGGGAUUUAUGCAAGAUUCAGUUCUGCUGCUCUGAACUUUAUAUAAACAAAGCUGUCUGAUAUAGUGCUCCUGUAUGCCACCAUCCUAGAUCUGAUGAGUCUUGAUGAGAAAAUGUAAUACACAUUACGUUCCCUGGAAAGUAAUAUAGGGAAAAGUAAAUCAAGGUAAAGAAAUAAACAAAAACUCCAAAGAGCUUUCAACAAUGAAAGUAGCUUAAUAUAGUGGAACAGUGGAUGGUCACAUCUCCAUUUUUAUUUAGAGCAAACCUACAUAAGUAGUGACCUAGCAAGCCACCCAUGAGCAGACAACUCACCAUGAGUGAGCGCAGGCAUAAAAAGGCUUCUUUGUUAUCUAGGUGGGGGUACAGGGCUGCAAGUCAAUGCCUGCCUUAACCAAGGUUCUCACACAAAUAUGCAGGGGUGGCUAAUCUUUUUUAAAACACACACACACACACAAACCUUUUUAUCUAUUUUAUUCCCCACCAACUGUCAAAAUAUGUGGGAUCUUGUUUGGCCAGAAAAACUUGUUCGGGGGUACAUGGAUCGUCUUGAGCCAGAGUUUAACCACCCCAAUUUAGUAUCUAUUAUUCUAAGUAUUACUAAAGCUGUGUAUCAGGGACUGGACUGAUGAGGAAUUGUGGGGACCGCCCCUCCUCUUCCUGCACCUUCCCGGAGAAGAGGAAGACAGUAUAGAUUCAGAACAGUGGUUUGCAGAAGGGCAUAGUUCAGAGGCUGCAGAGGGGAGAAGCUGGAAAAUAUUGGAGCAAAUACAGGAACAAGAAUCACUAGGAGGGAGACAAUUAACAUAUUCAGUGUCUCUUGAAAGCAUUCCACCGCCGCCCCUUCCAGAACCAGCUGUGCCUUGAGAGUAGUAGAACAGAAAGCUCAGAGGCAGAAAUCACAGAUCAGCUGGCACAGGGGUGAUGUAGAAUAGGAGAAACUGAGGGGGUGGGACUUUACUUGGAACAAUGCCAUUAUCCUUCAUCUCCCUCUGUG
rnacentral:lncRNA from 1 species